UCUGCAACAAGACACGUUAGGAUCUAUGCAGCUUAUUUUGACCCUGAAACUAGUGAAUUUGAUCAAACACAGAUGGACAAACUUACUCUUAUUCUUGAUCCUACUGAUGAGUUCGUUUGGACUGAUGAUACGUGUAAUCAGGUUUACUCUUAUUUCCAAGAACUUGUGGAUCAUUACGAGGCUCCUAGCCAUCACAAUUUGCAAGAUGCAGCAUUCAAGCACUAAGACUACUCAACAAAUCAAAGUUUUCACUGAAGGUCGGCAUUCUAAAAAAAACAAAAAAACAAACCUGCAGAUGAAGGUCGGUGUAGAACUUCUGCUUGAGGCUUGAGAAAUCUGUUGAACAGUCUGCUUGAGGCUUGCAGAAAU